rnacentral:tRNA from 1 species
GAUGGGGUUAUAGCUCAGUGGUAGAGUGCUUGCCUCUCAUGUGUGAGGCACUGGGUUGGAUCCUCAGCCCCAUUA